rnacentral:lncRNA from 1 species
CACCCACCUCUCCACGCCAGCCCCACAGCCCCCAGCCCCACAAGGGCCCCGACGCUCAGCGCCAGCGGGAGCUGCCACUGUGGGGCACGAAGGGUUGUGGGGUCGGCGGUGCCGGGGGCCCCACUGAGCUGCCACGAUGUGGGGCUGGGGGGGGGACCGGGGGGGUCGCAGCUGGCGGCGUCUGAGGCUGCGGGAGGGGAGGGGGGUGUGGGGCUGAACGUGGGGCCUUCGGACACCGCAGUGCUGGGGGGUCACCCGGAUCUUUGGGGUCUGAGCGCUUCGGGGUCAACACAACACUUUGGGGUCAACACAACUCUACGGGGUCAACCCAAUGACUUUGGGGUCAACACAACUCUAUGGGGUCAACACAACUCUAUGGGGUCAACCCAAUGACUUUGGGGUCAACACAACUCUAUGGGGUCAACCCAACUCUAUGGGGUCAACCCAAUUCUCUGGGAUCCCAACCCAACGCUUUGGGGUCAACCCAACUCUUUGGGGUCAACCCAAUGACUUUGGGGUCAACCCAACUCUAUGGGGUCAACCCAAUGACUUUGGGAUCAACCCAACCCUUUGGGGUCAACCCAAUUCUCUGGGAUCCCAACCCAACUCUUUGGGGUCACCCAACUCUAUGGGGCCAACCCAACUCUAUGGGACCAACCCAACUCUUUGGGGUCAACCCAAUUCUCUGGGAUCCCAACCCAACACUUUGGGGUCAACCCAACUCUAUGGGAUCAACCCAAUGACUUUGGGAUCAACCCAACUCUUUGGGGUCAACCCAAUGACUUUGGGGUCAACACAACUCUAUGGGGUCAACCCAAUGACUUUGGGGUCAACCCAAUUCUCUGGGAUCAACCCAACUCUUUGGGAUCAACCCAAUGACUUUGGGGUCAACUCAACACAAUUCUUUGGGACCAACCCAACCCUUUGGGGUCAACCCAAUUCUCUGGGAUCCCAACCCAACGCUUUGGGGUCACCCAACUCUAUGGGACCAACCCAAUGACUUUGGGGUCAACCCAACUCUUUGGGGUCAACCCAACUCUAUGGGGUCAACCCAACUAUAUGGGAUCCCAACCCAAUGACUUUGGGGUCAACCCAACUCUUUGGGGUCAACCCAAUGACUUUGGGGUCAACUCAACGCUUUGGGGUCAACCCAAUGACUUUGGGGUCAACCCAAUGACUUUGGGAUCAACCCAACUCUAUGGGGUCAACCCAAUACUCUGGGAUCCCAACCCAACGCUUUGGGGUCAACCCAACUCUAUGGGAUCAACCCAAUGACUUUGGGAUCAACCCAACUCUUUGGGGUCAACCCAAUGACUUGGGGGUCAACACAACUCUAUGGGGUCAACCCAAUUCUCUGGGAUCCCAACCCAACUCUUAGGGGUCAACCCAAUGACUUUGGGGUCAAUUCAACUCUUUGGGAUCAACCCAACUCUAUGGGAUCAACCCAAUGAUUUUGGGGUCAACUCAAC